AGAGUUUGAUCCUGGCUCAGGACGAACGCUGGCGGGGUGCUUAACACAUGCAAGUCGAACGAUGAAGCCCUUCGGGGUGGAUUAGUGGCGAACGGGUGAGUAACACGUGGGCAAUCUGGCCUGCACUCUGGGACAAGCCCUGGAAACGGGGUCUAAUAGCGGAUAACACUCCUGCCCGCAUGGGUAGGUCUUGAAAGCUCCGGCGGUGCAGGAUGAGCCCGGGCCCUAUCAGCUUGUUGGUGAGGUAGUGGCUCACCAAGGCGACGACGGGUAGCCGGCCUGAGAGGGCGACCGGCCACACUGGGACUGAGACACGGCCCAGACUCCAACGGGAGGCAGCAGUGGGGAAUAUUGCACAAUGGGCGCAAGCCUGAUGCAGCGACGCCGCGUGAGGGAAGACGGCCUUCGGGUUGUAAACCUCUUUCAGCAGGGAAGAAGCGCAAGUGACGGUACCUGCAGAAGAUGCGCCGGCUAACUACGAGCCAGCAGCCGCGGUAAUACGUAGGGCGCAAGCGUUGUCCGGAAUUAUUGGGCGUAAAGAGCUCGUAGGCGGUCUGUCGCGUCGGAUGUGAAAGCCCGGGGCUUAACCCGGGGUCUGCAUUCGAUACGGGCAGACUAGAGUGUGGUAGGGGAGAUCGGAAUUCCUGGUGUAGCGGUGAAUUGCGCAGAUAUCAGGAGGAACACCGGUGGCGAAGGCGGAUCUCUGGCCCAUUACUGACGCUGAGGAGCGAAAGCGUUGGGAGCGAACAGGAUUAGAUACCCUGGUAGUCCACGCCGUAAACGGUGGGUACUAGGUGUUGGCGACAUUCCACGUCGUCGGUGCCGCUGCUAACGCAUUAAGUUCCCCGCCUGGGGAGUACGGCCGCAAGGGUAAAACUCAAAGGAAUUGACGGGGGCCGGCACAAGCAGCGGAGCAUGUGGCUUAAUUCGACGCAACGCGAAGAACCUU
rnacentral:rRNA from 1 species